rnacentral:lncRNA from 1 species
CCGAAGUUCUGAUCCUGUGCUCCAUGAUACACAGCCAGCCAGUCAUAAUUGCAUCAUCUGCAUCAUAGCAUGUUUAUUUUCAAAAAAAAAUGCAAAAAAAAAAUGAUAAAAAAAAGAAAAACUGACUUGUACAUGCAUAUCAUCUCUCAGGUUCAUUCAGGAGUCUGUUCACAGUGAGAGAUGGCAACCAUUCCGGAGUUGAAGAGGAAGACUUGCA